rnacentral:rRNA from 1 species
GACGAACGCUGGCGGCGUGCUUAACACAUGCAAGUCGAGCGGUAAGGCCUCUUCGGGGGUACACGAGCGGCGAACGGGUGAGUAACACGUGGGUGACCUGCCCUCCGCUCUGGGAUAAGCCUGGGAAACUGGGUCUAAUACCGGAUAUGACCACAUGUUGCAUGGUGUGUGGUGGAAAGUUUUUUCGGCUGGGGAUGGGCCCGCGGCCUAUCAGCUUGUUGGUGGGGUGAUGGCCUACCAAGGCGACGACGGGUAGCCGGCCUGAGAGGGCGACCGGCCACACUGGGACUGAGACACGGCCCAGACUCCUACGGGAGGCAGCAGUGGGGAAUAUUGCGCAAUGGGCGGAAGCCUGACGCAGCGACGCCGCGUGGGGGAUGACGGCCUUCGGGUUGUAAACCUCUUUCGACCGGGACGAAGCGUAAGUGACGGUACCGGGAGAAGAAGCACCGGCCAACUACGUG